rnacentral:rRNA from 1 species
CCGGGGCCCCUAUUGCGCAGCGUUGGGCCCCAUGGUCACAACUGGUCGGCCUCAUGGGCCUUUUGUGGAUAGCUGCUUGCUUAGCAGAGCCCGCAACCAGGAGGCAAGUUUCGGCCGCGGAGUAUAUUUGACCCGGGGGGGAAUUUGAAGGGUUACCCCAAUCCCAGAAAGGGGCUUCGCCCCCCUCAAUCCCAGGGUUAUUGGGGGGUACGCCCCUGGGGCGUCCUAGUGUUAGGGGAGCCAGCCCCGGAAUGGCCCGUCAGCUCUAGGGAGCACAUGGGAUUUGCCAUGGCGCAGCUGACCACCAUCCGCGGGUGAGAAGCUUCGGUUUAAGCAUUCAGCGGGAGAAGCGUAAGUUAUACCUGGCGAUGCGUACCGCAGAGAACACGGCUACUCCGGCCACAGCGCGGUAUACGAGGGGCAAGCGUUAUCGAAUACUGGCGUAAGCGCCGCAGCGGUCUUCAAGUGGAUUGAAUCCCCGGCUCACCUGGGAAUGCAUCCGAACUGGCAGCUAGAGUCUGUAGAGGGGGUAGAUUCCAGGUUAGCGUGAAUGCGUAGAAUCGGAGGACACCGGUGCGAAGGCGCCCCCUGGACAAGACUGACGCUCAGGUGGAAAGCGUGGGAGCAAACAGGAUUAGAUACCCUGGUAGUCCACGCCGUAAACGAUGUCGAUUUGGAGGUUGUGCCCUUGAGGCGUGGCUUCCGGAGCUAACGCGUUAAAUCGACCGCCUGGGGAGUACGGCCGCAAGGUUAAAACUCAAAUGAAUGACGGGGGCCCGCACAAGCGGUGGAGCAUGUGGUUUAAUUCGAUGCAACGCGAAGAACCUUACCUGGUCUUGACAUCCACAGAACUUUCCAGAGAUGGAUUGGUGCCUUCGGGAACUGUGAGACAGGUGCUGCAUGGCUGUCGUCAGCUCGUGUUGUGAAAUGUUGGGUUAAGUCCCGCAACGAGCGCAACCCUUAUCCUUUGUUGCCAGCGGUUCGGCCGGGAACUCAAAGGAGACUGCCAGUGAUAAACUGGAGGAAGGUGGGGAUGACGUCAAGUCAUCAUGGCCCUUACGACCAGGGCUACACACGUGCUACAAUGGCAUAUACAAAGAGAAGCGACCUCGCGAGAGCAAGCGGACCUCAUAAAGUAUGUCGUAGUCCGGAUUGGAGUCUGCAACUCGACUCCAUGAAGUCGGAAUCGGUAGUAAUCGUAGAUCAGAAUGCUCCGGGGAAUACGUUCCCGGCCCUGGUACACACCGCCCGUCACACCAUGGGAGUGGGUGCACAAGAAGUAGGUAGCUUAACCUUCGGGAGGGCGCUUACCACUUAGUGAUUCAUGACUGGGGGAAGUCGAAGCAAGAUAUCAGGCCCC